rnacentral:tRNA from 1 species
UGCAAAGUAGAGCAAUGGUUAGCUCGUCAGGCUCAUGCCCUGGAGGUUGAAAGUUCGAAUCUUUCCUUUGCAA